rnacentral:rRNA from 1 species
UACGUAGGGGGCAAGCGUUGUCCGGAAUCAUUGGGCGUAAAGCGCGUGUAGGCGGCUUGGUAAGUCCGUUCUGAAAGCCCGGGGCUCAACCCCGGGAGGCGGAUGGAUACUGCUGAGCUCGAGUCCGGAAGAGGCGAGUGGAAUUCCUGGUGUAGCGGUGAAAUGCGCAGAUAUCAGGAGGAACACCGGUGGCGAAGGCGGUUCUCUGGGCAUUACCUGACGCUGAGGAGCGAAAGUGUGGGGAGCGAACAGG